ensembl:lncRNA FGGY-DT FGGY divergent transcript
CCUCCGCCCCGUGGCAAGUUCCCUUCUCAACUGCCCUGCGCCUCCGCUGGCCCGCGUGAAACCCUCUCUGCUGCCUCGACUGACUGUCGUUUCCGUGUCUUGAUUGUGGCCUCUGCCUCUCCCCCUUCCGAUUUCGUUCGACUUCUUUCUACAGUUACUAAGCGCCCACUGUGUGCCCUGGAAGGGACUAGACUCAGCAGGAAAAACAUCCAGGCAAGUGGACAGCAUUUGCAACAGCCCAGCAAUAAGAAGGACCAUAUUCUACUUGGGAAAAGGUAAAGUCGUUUCAUAUGGACGGAGCCUGCCAGGAAACCUGUCAUUCAACCCUUUGCAAUAAAACAGCUCCUCAUGAAUGAAGCAAAAUAAAUCAGAAGUUGUGGGCUUUUAAACUCACUAAAUGAAAGCACAGCAUGCAUGCAGCCUCCCUCCAAAUUAAUCACCAGAUUAAAUGCAAGAUGUGCACACCAAAUCAAUAGCUUGUGACGGGGACCUCCUGCCUGUGCUUCAGGAAAAUUCCAUUUCCUUUCAGAUGUUGUCGCUUGAAAUGUCAGGAAGUUUCCAUUCAUCACCCGCCCUUGAAAAUGCCACCAUCACCAUACUUCAUGUUUCCUUGCUUUCUUUCUUCAGAGGAAUCCAAGCACCUUGCAGAGGGAGCCCACUCCUUGUCACAGACUCUCCUGGAGGCUGAAACAGGGGCAGUCUGCACAGAGGAGAGGUGUAGAGAGGCGCGAUUUAGAAAUAAGAAAACCAAAUCGUAAAGAAGCCUAAUGUCUUGUUGCAACAUCUGAAAGAAACAAGAUGAAUAUAUUCCACUAGGUGGGAAGCUUAGGGUAGUGGGAAGAACAUGGAUUCAGGACUUUGAGAAACAUGGAUUUAAAUUUUGAUCCCCAAUGCCUCUCUGCACUUCACUGUUAUCUAUAAAAUAGAGGAAAUAAAAAUACUAUACAUUCAAGUCUUAACACCAACAGUUAACUAGUUGUGUAACCUUGGACAAGUUAUGUGACCUCUCUGUCUGAGCAUUGUCAUUUGUAUAUGAGAUCAUGGAGGUUAAAUGUCCAACCUGUUGUCACUGUGCACCUCAAAAUAAUAAAUAAAACAUUUCAUCUCUCAA